UCCCUGGCAAGCGCAAGGGCCUGAGUUCAAUCCCCAGAAGAGUCUUGGGGGCUUCUCAGGAACUAGCCAGACCCAACUCACCGAGGCUCACGGAGCUGCUACUGGACGUCCUGUGUGCACAGGACUGCAAGGUGUUUGCCCAGGUCCUCCAAAGCCACCACAGCUAUGGACCAAAUGGGCCUGCCUACUGUGAGCCCACCUUGUCCACAAUACUGGUUUUUACAGGAAAGCAGUGUCAGAGCCACAGGGUCAGUUUCCACGGAGGACACAAGACUUUGGGAGGCCAGUGUGUGCGGGCUGUGAGGGAACACCCCGCAGUAGCCUGAGGGCCACACAGGGAGCUGUGCGGCGGCAGCUGCAAGAGCACACUGGAAGUCAGCUAGUGUGGGCAGACCAGGCCCACGCUAGCUCCUGAACAGCUAGACCAGUGGUGUAAUAAGAGACUGUGUGAUCUGGGGCACCCAGGACGGGAGGGGUAAACAGCACUCCAUCCAACAGCUUGUAUUUAUUUGGUUUUCAAACAAAGGGGAUAUUGAGGCAAAGUGGGAACUCAGCAUAACUGUGGCAGUCAGUCCAAAGACUUCUCCAAGGUUUUUUAAUGUUAUUUGGUACAGGGUCUCACUACGGAGCUCGGACU